rnacentral:rRNA from 1 species
UCGAGAAUCAUUCGCAAUGGGCGAAAGCCUGACGAUGCGACGCCGCGUGAGCGAUGAAGGCCCUCGGGUUGUAAAGCUCUUUCGCCUGGGAACAAGAGAAGGUUACAAAUAGUAGCCUGAUUUGAGGGUACCAGGUAAAGAAGCACCGGCUAACUCCGUGCCAGCAGCUGCGGUAAUACGGAGGGUGCAAGCAUUAAUCGGAUUGAUUGGGCGUAAAGGGCGCGUAGGUGGGAGUGCAAGUCAGAUGUGAAAUCCCGGGGCUCAACCCCGGAACAGCAUUUGAAACUGCACUUCUUGAGGGUAGGCGGGGAAAACGGAAUUCCACAUGUAGCGGUGAAAUGCGUAGAUAUGUGGAAGAACACCUGUGGCGAAAGCGGUUUUCUAGCUUACUCCUGACACU